rnacentral:misc_RNA from 1 species
UGAAGACACCGGCCGGCACACA